rnacentral:lncRNA from 1 species
UUUUGCCAUUUCUUGGGCUGCUCCCUCGGCAUAUGGAGGUUCCCAGGCUAGGGGUCUAAUUGGAGCUGUAGCCACUGGCCUACCCCACAGCCACAGCAACAAGGGAUCCAAGCCGUGUCUGCGACCUAUACCACAGUUCAAAGCAACACCGCAUCCUUAACCCACUGAGCAAGGCCAGGGAUUGAACCUGCAACCUCAUGGUUCCUAGUCGGAUUCGUUAACCACUGAGCCACGAUGGGAACUCCAGGAACUGGAGCUAGUAUUAAAUGAAAGAAUGCUUCUUUCUACUCUGAAUUGCAUUUCUGGGCUUUAAAGUUAUCCAUUUGACCUUUAAGGGAAAAUAGCAGUAACCUUAGUUAAAAGAUCACAUUGUCUAAACCUCUUAGAAUAAUUAGUUGUAAAGGUAGUAGGACAAUACAUCACUAUGUUAAAAGUAACAGCUGAUAGCUCCUCCUCCUUUAAAAUACACAUGUAGUAAAAAGAGGAGUAAAGAAAAUAAGGUUUCGGAGUUCCCGUUGUGGCGCAGUGGUUAACGAAUCCGACUAGGAGCCAUGAGUUUAAAGUUACACUUUGAUCUUGGCCUGCAAUUAAACUACUCACAAAAUUUAGUACUUAUCUUUGACUGUAAUGAAAUAAUUUCCAUUUGGCUGAUAGGAAAAAAGCAGAGAUACACAGAAAUAACUAUGCCAUAGCAAUUAAAGUCUCAUAAUCAUUUUGAUUUUCAUGACAAUCUCUACUACUUUCAAUGUUUUCUGUUCUGUUUUUAAUUUCAGAGAAGGCUAUUUAGACCUAAAGCUAUGAAUUAGGAAGUAAUUUACCAUCUAACUGCAAUUUAAGGUCAGUUUACUUUGUAGUUUAAUAUGAGGAAAAUUUAAGGGGGUCUUAAUCUCCCUUUCAAUUUAACUAUGCUAACUAACUCCUAGUAUCUUUACAGAGUUCUGACAUCUGAGAAAGUUUGAUUUGUGGUUGUAUCAAACUAACUCUUGCCUACAGAGGUAAGGAUAACAAACUUAGAACACUGUGAUAUAUAUCUGAAUAGUAUACAUUGUUACAUUAACUGCAGAAAUCGCAUAGUUGUUAAGAGGGAAGACUGUCAAGUAUAGGAAUAGAAAAAAAGGGAGAGAACAGUAAGAAUGGGAAACAAAAAUUAGUUGCCUACUGUUAAUCAUCAUCUAAGAGAGCUAUGCACAGGAUAUAUAAAGUACUGAAAACAAACAUGAACAACUUAUUUAACGUAAGUAUUGAUUAGGUGACUAGAGUCUUAGAAAAAUUAAGGAAAAAAUAUGAUCAAAUUCAGUCAUACCUAGGAAAGUAAAGUACUUAAAUCCAAGUUAUUGUGAUGAACAUUAAUUUCCUCAUUUGUAAAAAGACUAAAUCAAAAGUCUCUUCUAUCACUAAUUUCUGUAAGACACACCAUAAAUGCAGACAAGUUCUGCUGACAUAGGUUUAAGUAGAAUUGGCCCUUCAUAUCCUUGGGGGAGUCCUGGAACAAUGCUCCAUGGAUUCCAAGGGAUGACCAUAGAAAUGGUAUUCAUUCUUGGCUUGUUUUGAUGUUUAGCUAUCCGUGGACACUUAAAAAUCAUAAAUUUGCCAUCUAAAAUUUUAGUCCCUAACAAAACAGUUAUAGACACACAAUACAAAGCAUACACAAACCAGACCCUUGAUAUAAAAGCAAUGAAAGUCAACUUUGUUUUUCAAAAUGUCCAACUGUUGGAGCCUUGGAAGGCUCAUUCUUUAAGGGUAACCUUCAGAAAAAAAGGAAAAGGCUGUUAAGACCAAUAUAGUACCAUAUCUAAUGCUACCUUACACUCUGAAAGAAGGGUUUAGACAUCUAAAAUAAUCUUAAAUUCACUGUGAAAUUUGUGUUUCAGCGUCAGACAGAUGCUCUAUUUUGGCCAAAUUUCUACUGUAAAGUAGAAAAACUACCAAGUUAAGUAUUAAUAAGGUUAAUAAAAUGAUGAGACGGAGAAAACAGAUUUUGUAACUUAAAAGCACUAAAUUAAAGAUUUAUUUUUACUGUAUCUUAUGACUGGUGAGAGUGGUCAUGCGUGUAAUAUGGAAAUUGGCCUAGGCAAGCAUUAAUUCUAAAAAAAACCAUCCAUGUACAGAAUUAUAUAUACAUAUAUGAAAAAACACACUACCAAUGACAGCAUACUAUUUUUCCUUUUAAAAUUCAAUGUUAUAACUUAAUUGGAUGUUAGUAUAUAAGCUGCUUCUGCUUUCUAAUGGGUGUGCUCCCAGAUCUGUAUGUGGAUGAUACAUGAAUAACCGGUUAAGUUCUUCUGAAAUACAUACUGUAAAAUGCUGAGAAUAUGAAGGUCAGCUGGGAAUUUUAAAUAGAACUGUCUAUACAUAAUUAUAUAUCAUCAGUCACAAUCACUACAACUUAACUUUUUUCCUUUUUACCACCACACUUGCAGCGUACGGAAUUUCCCGGUUAGUGGUCAACUCAGGGCUGUGACUGCUGGUCUAUGCCACAGCAACACCAGACCCAAGCUGCAUCUGUGACUUCCACUACAACAUUUUGCUGGAUCCUUGACUUACUGAGCAAGGCCAGGAUCAAACCUGUGUCUUCAUGUAUACUAGUCAGGUUCUUAACCCACUGAGCCACAAUGAAACUCCCACUACAACUUUCUUCCAGCAAUAGUUUUAUUAUUUAUUUAUUUAUUUUUGUCUUUUUGCGUUUUCUAGGGCCACACCCGUGGCACAUGGAGGUUCACAGGCUAGGGGUCUAAUUGGAGCUGUAGCUGCCAGCCUAUGCCAGAGCCACAGCAACGCGGGAUCCGAGCUGUGUCUGUGACCUACACCUCAGGUCACGGCAAUACCAGAUCCUUAACCCACUGAGCGAGGCCAGGGAUCAAACCUGCAACCUCAUGGUUCCUAGUCAGAUUCAUUAACCACCGAGCCACGAUGGGAACUCCUUACGGCAGUAGUUUUAGAGGGCCAGCUACCAUUCAGCUUAACACUAAUGUCUUGGUCAUAUGAGGGUGGCAUAUACGUAUUAUAAUAAUGUAAUUUUUGCUGAUUGCCAAAUGUUCAUACACGUUCCAAAAGCCACUAAAAAUGCACUUUGCAUGGGCAUAAGGAAUUUAAGAUGUACAAAUAUGAACAAAAAUGCUAACAUGAAAUUUGAAGUAUUUCAACAAGUUUUUUGGGGCCUAAAAUUUUAAUAAGGAAAUCAGGAAUCGAGAUAUAUUUUCUGACACAGCAGCAAAGCGACAAGUUCUAGCCUUUGCCGUAUAGGUAUAAACCAUAGGUUGCCUGUGCUUCACACAUUCCCAGCACAAAAAAAUUGUCAGGACUCUCAAGUAUUUAUCAAUAGCAAUGGUUAUCAUUUAGCUUGUCAUCUAAGGCUGUCAGACAGUAAGCUAUACAUAUGUAGAUAAUUAAGUAAUUUACAGAGAGGAAAUGAAGUCAAUCAAGAUCAAGUAGAGCAUAACAGGUGAGCAUAAAUGAGAAAGAGAAGGCCUCACACUAAAUCUCAUAACUGCUCUCUCAUUUGCAGCCAGAAAGGAAAAAAUGUGAUAAAAAAUAAAAUAGUAGAGUUCCCAUUGUGGCACUCCAGCUUAAGGACCCGAUGUUGUCUCUGUUGAUGAUGUGGGUUUGAUCCCUGGCAUGGUUUAGUGAGUUAAGGAUCCAGCAUUGCCAUAAGCUGCAGCUCCAAUUCCCUGGCCCCGGAAUUUCCAUAUGGCACAGGUGCGGCAGUAGAAAAGAAAAAACAAAAACUUUCUAACCCUAACCCCAUCUAAAAUUGAGAUAAAUAUUAGGAAUGAUAUCUAUAACUUAGUUCAUGACAGACUCUUCACUAAUUGUUCAAUUUCCACUGUGGAGUUAGUAGGAUCUGGGUCUACCGUAAUACUUAAGCCUAUCAUUUCCCUUUUUAUUUCCUCAAAAUAAGAGGAAAAAGAAAAAUAAAUGAUUUAAGCUUCACUGGCAAAGGACUCUAGAUAAAAAACAAUGAAAUGAUAUGGUUCCAAUCCACUGUCUUUGCCAGCCUUAUCUUUCAGUGUCCUUUAGGCAACCUAGUCAAAUGGAUUUCUUAUAUUUAAAGCAUAUUUUCUCUAUUCCUGUUCUAUGCCAUUGCACAUAAAGCCAUGCUGGCUGCAAAUACAUUCUGUUUCACUGCCUCUAACCCCAACCACUAUUGAAAUUCACAAAUAUUUUUGCCUUUCAGUUCAAAAAUUCAGUUUCCUCUGCCAAGCACAUUACCCGGAAAUCGGGUUGCUGGCUGAAUGCUUUGAGUACAUAGCCACAUGGCUUAAUCCCAAAUUAGAUUAUAAAUUAACAGAGUAGAGACUAGCCCCACUUUGCACAGUAACAGGUACAAAUAUUUAAGUGAAGAAAACUGGAUGGCAGAAACCAGAAUUGAGGGCUAACAACACAGGAAAAAUAGGUGUUAAAUGGGGGGGAAAAAAACAAAACCAGAAAACCCUCAAAGUUUUGUAGCAUAAUGGUAUAUAGUCAGCCAAAGCCUUUUGCAUGAUAUAUAUUUAUCAGUGACUUGCUAUUACCAUAAAUACACGCUAUGGCAAAAUUUUCAGACACUUGGCAUCAAAGCACAUUACCUAUUAUUUGUGCAACAAAACUGAAUGCCUGUUAUAUGCCAGACACUUUGCACUUUAGCUACAAAGAUGAAUGAGACACUACCUACCAAUAUCUCAUAAACUAAGAGAAAAGAGGAACAUGAACCUGACAGUGAUAACAGAAUUACCAAAGGGAAUGUCUCAUUUUCUCUAGAUAAAAGCAGAUAUUUAAACUUGGGUGAUUUUUUUUCCUUUUUAUGGCUGCACCUACAGCAUAUGGAAGUUCCCAGGCUAGGGGUUGAAUCUGAGCUGCAGGCCUAUGCCACAGCAACACCAGAUCCAAGUUGCAUCUGUGAUCUAUGCCACAGCUUGCUGCAAUGCCGGGUCUUUAACCCACUGAGCAAGGCCAGGGAUUGAACCUCCAUCCUCAAGAAAACUAGUUGGGUUUGUUGCCACUGAGCGACAACGGAAACUCCUAAAUUAAGGUUAUAUUAACCUCAAGUGGUACCCAUGAGGCUCACAAGCCAGAUGCAGGACCCUUCAUGUCACAGGGUGUAUUUGAGCUUGAUGCUCCUAUCUUGUGAACUAAGUGAGUUUUUUAAGCAAAAAAGAUUUAGAAAUAUGUCUGGGAGUUCCCAUUGUGGCUCAGCAGUAGUAGCAAACCCAACUAGUGUCCAUGAGGCUGAGUUUUCAAUCCCUGACCUCAAUCAGUGGGUUAAGGAUCUGCCAUAAGCUGCGGUGUAGGUCACAGGUGCAGCUUGGAUUCCUCGUUGCUGUGGCUGUGGUGUAACUGCAGCUCCAACUGGACCCCUAGCCUCGGACCNAAAAAAAAAAAAAAGGAAAGAAAAAGAUGCCUGAUUAUUCAGAUUAAGCUAGAAGAGUAGAAUCAUUAACUAAAAAAGGAAACAAAAGGCGAAAGAGAAAAGCUACAUUUUGAAUUUCAGGCAAAAGAGAAAAGCUACAUUUUGAAUUUGUUUAGCUUGAAAUACCUUUGGGACAUGAAAGAUACUUAAUUUCAGUUGAGUUGAGAGAUUAUAAAUUAUGAGGUCAUCAAUAAGUAAAAGUGUGGGGAUUAACUGGUGAAAAGGUCGCUGGGGAUAUAACACUAGGAAAUAAUAAUUAAGAAGCAAAAGAAAGCAACCAGUGAAAACAUGAAGGACAAGAGUAGCAACUAAUAAAGCAUAGAAACCAGGAGUUUUAAGGGGUAUUUUCUAAGUAAUCAAAUGCUAUAGGUUAUGUAAGACCACCCACAUCUGGAGCACACAAAAGCACAGACGUUUCACAAAAUGUUAUAAACGUAAAUAAUUGCAGAUAGUCUUUUUCUUAUUCCCCAAGAUUAAAACUUAAAAAGGCUGAGUCUGGAGAUAAGGGAACUAGUUAAUUUUACACAGUGAAAGUCAAAAGCUGGUACAAGUGAACCCUUGACUUCUGCUGUUAAUGGGUAGAGU